rnacentral:rRNA from 1 species
CCUACGGGUGGCAGCAGUGGGGAAUAUUGGACAAUGGGCGAAAGCCUGAUCCAGCCAUGCCGCGUGUGUGAAGAAGGCCUUCGGGUUGUAAAGCACUUUCAGUGGGGAAGAAAGCCUUGGGGCUAAUACCCUCGAGGAAGGACAUCACCCACAGAAGAAGCACCGGCUAACUCCGUGCCAGCAGCCGCGGUAAUACGGAGGGUGCGAGCGUUAAUCGGAAUUACUGGGCGUAAAGCGCACGUAGGCGGUCUGAUAAGCCGGUUGUGAAAGCCCCGGGCUCAACCUGGGAACGGCAUCCGGAACGGUCAGGCUAGAGUGCAGGAGAGGAAGGUAGAAUUCCCGGUGUAGCGGUGAAAUGCGUAGAGAUCGGGAGGAAUACCAGUGGCGAAGGCGGCCUUCUGGACUGACACUGACGCUGAGGUGCGAAAGCGUGGGUAGCAAACAGGAUUAGAUACCCCGGUAGUC